rnacentral:rRNA from 1 species
CGGGACACGUGGUAUCCUGUCUGAAUAUGGGGGGACCAUCCUCCAAGGCUAAAUACUCCUGACUGACCGAUAGUGAACCAGUACCGUGAGGGAAAGGCGAAAAGAACCCCGGCGAGGGGAGUGAAAAAGAACCUGAAACCGUGUACGUACAAGCAGUGGGAGCCCUGAUUUAUCAGGGUGACUGCGUACCUUUUGUAUAAUGGGUCAGCGACUUAUAUUCUGUAGCAAGGUUAACCGAAUAGGGGAGCCGGAGGGAAACCGAGUCUUAACUGGGCGUUAAGUUGCAGGGUAUAGACCCGAAACCCGGUGAUCUAGCCAUGGGCAGGUUGAAGGUUGGGUAACACUAACUGGAGGACCGAACCGACUAAUGUUGAAAAAUUAGCGGAUGACUUGUGGCUGGGGGUGAAAGGCCAAUCAAACCGGGAGAUAGCUGGUUCUCCCCGAAAGCUAUUUAGGUAGCGCCUCGUGAAUUCAUCUCCGGGGGUAGAGCACUGUUUCGGCAAGGGGGUCAUCCCGACUUACCAACCCGAUGCAAACUGCGAAUACCGGAGAAUGUUAUCACGGGAGACACACGGCGGGUGCUAACGUCCGUCGUGAAGAGGGAAACAACCCAGACCGCCAGCUAAGGUCCCAAAGUCAUGGUUAAGUGGGAAACGAUGUGGGAAGGCCCAGACAGCCAGGAUGUUGGCUUAGAAGCAGCCAUCAUUUAAAGAAAGCGUAAUAGCUCACUGGUCGAGUCGGCCUGCGCGGAAGAUGUAACGGGGCUAAACCAUGCACCGAAGCUGCGGCAGCGACACUGUGUGUUGUUGGGUAGGGGAGCGUUCUGUAAGCCUGUGAAGGUGUGCUGUGAGGCAUGCUGGAGGUAUCAGAAGUGCGAAUGCUGACAUAAGUAACGAUAAAGCGGGUGAAAAGCCCGCUCGCCGGAAGACCAAGGGUUCCUGUCCAACGUUAAUCGGGGCAGGGUGAGUCGACCCCUAAGGCGAGGCCGAAAGGCGUAGUCGAUGGGAAACAGGUUAAUAUUCCUGUACUUGGUGUUACUGCGAAGGGGGGACGGAGAAGGCUAUGUUGGCCGGGCGACGGUUGUCCCGGUUUAAGCGUGUAGGCUGGUUUUCCAGGCAAAUCCGGAGAAUCAAGGCUGAGGCGUGAUGACGAGGCACUACGGUGCUGAAGCAACAAAUGCCCUGCUUCCAGGAAAAGCCUCUAAGCAUCAGGUAACAUUAAAUCGUACCCCAAACCGACACAGGUGGUCAGGUAGAGAAUACCAAGGCGCUUGAGAGAACUCGGGUGAAGGAACUAGGCAAAAUGGUGCCGUAACUUCGGGAGAAGGCACGCUGAUAUGUAGGUGAAGCGACUUGCUCGUGGAGCUGAAAUCAGUCGAAGAUACCAGCUGGCUGCAACUGUUUAUUAAAAACACAGCACUGUGCAAACACGAAAGUGGACGUAUACGGUGUGACGCCUGCCCGGUGCCGGAAGGUUAAUUGAUGGGGUCAGCGCAAGCGAAGCUCUUGAUCGAAGCCCCGGUAAACGGCGGCCGUAACUAUAACGGUCCUAAGGUAGCGAAAUUCCUUGUCGGGUAAGUUCCGACCUGCACGAAUGGCGUAAUGAUGGCCAGGCUGUCUCCACCCGAGACUCAGUGAAAUUGAACUCGCUGUGAAGAUGCAGUGUACCCGCGGCAAGACGGAAAGACCCCGUGAACCUUUACUAUAGCUUGACACUGAACACUGGUCCUUGAUGUGUAGGAUAGGUGGGAGGCUUUGAAGUGUGGACGCCAGUCUGCAUGGAGCCGUCCUUGAAAUACCACCCUUUAAUGGCUGGUGUUCUAACGUUGGCCCCUUACCGGGGUUGCGGACAGUGUCUGGUGGGUAGUUUGACUGGGGCGGUCUCCUCCUAAAGAGUAACGGAGGAGCACGAAGGUUGGCUAAUCCUGGUCGGACAUCAGGAGGUUAGUGCAAUGGCAUAAGCCAGCUUGACUGCGAGCGUGACGGCGCGAGCAGGUGCGAAAGCAGGUCAUAGUGAUCCGGUGGUUCUGAAUGGAAGGGCCAUCGCUCAACGGAUAAAAGGUACUCCGGGGAUAACAGGCUGAUACCGCCCAAGAGUUCAUAUCGACGGCGGUGUUUGGCACCUCGAUGUCGGCUCAUCACAUCCUGGGGCUGAAGUAGGUCCCAAGGGUAUGGCUGUUCGCCAUUUAAAGUGGUACGCGAGCUGGGUUUAGAACGUCGUGAGACAGUUCGGUCCCUAUCUGCCGUGGGCGCUGGAGAACUGAGGGGGGCUGCUCCUAGUACGAGAGGACCGGAGUGGACGCAUCACUGGUGUUCGGGUUGUCAUGCCAAUGGCACUGCCCGGUAGCUAAAUGCGGAAGAGAUAAGUGCUGAAAGCAUCUAAGCACGAAACUUGCCCCGAGAUGAGUUCUCCCUGAGACUUAGAGUCUCCUGAAGGAACGUUGAAGACGACGACGUUGAUAGGCCGGGUGUGUAAGCGCAGCGAUGCGUUGAGCUAACCGGUACUAAUGAACCGUGAGGCUUAACCUUACAACGCCGAAG